CAAUUUGACAUUCUUGCUCACCGGAGUUUCUUUCUCUUCAAGUUUGAACAUAUUUCACGAUGGUUCGUAUGGGAGCAACUGCAACGCAGCGAAGUACAUGAUGGCUGCCUAUGCGACCCCUUGGUAUGCUGAACCUAUGGUUAUCUUGUAGCCAGAGCUACUUCCGAGCUUUCGUUGGGAGCAGGAGAUGCUACGACGACAAUUAGAUAUGACGCUACGUAUGACGUCAGCGUUGCAAUUAAUGACUCCAAUGAAGACGGAAAAGGAAUUGAUAACAACGGAUUAUCUCUUAAAAAGCAACUUUUAGGUCACUGCUCUCUAUAUAUAAACUAUUUAUUUACCCUUUGUGCGUAUACUGGGCAAUAGCUGUUGAUUUGUACAAUAAACUUCUUGUUGGGUUUGAUUUUGACAUUUGGUGGAGGAAAUAAAAGAUGCUAAGUAGCAAAAAUUCA